rnacentral:rRNA from 1 species
GAUGAACGCUGGCGGCGUGCCUAAUACAUGCAAGUCGAGCGAACAGACGAGAAGCUUGCUUCUUUGAUGUUAGCGGCGGACGGGUGAGUAACACGUGGAUAACCUACCUAUAAGACUGGGAUAACUUCGGGACACCGGCGCUAAUACCGGAUAAUCUUUUGAUCCGUAUGGUUCAAUAGUGAAAGACGGUCUUGCUGUCACUUAUAGAUGGUUCCGCGCUGCAUUAGCUAGUUGUUAAGGUAACGGCUUACUAAGGCAACGAUGCAUAGCCGACCUGAGAGAGUGAUCGGCCACACUGGAACGGAGACGCGGUCCAGACUCCUAAGGGAGGCAGCAGUAGGGAAUCUGCCGCAAUGGGCGAAAGCCUUACGGAGCAACGCCACGUGAGUGAUGAAGAUCUUCGGAUCGUAAAACUCUGUUAUUAGGUAAGAACAGAUUUGUAAGUAACUGUGCACAGCGUGACGGUACCUAAUCAGAAAGCCACGGCUAACUACGUG